CUGUUGUUGAUAGUGCUGCUAUAAACAUGGGGGUGCAUGUGCCCCUGUGAACCAGCACACCUGUAUCCCUUUGAUAAAUAGUAGUGCAAUUGCUGGGUCGUAGGGUAGUUCUAUUUUAAUCUUUUGAGGAAUCUCCAUACCGUGGAAACUUUUUAUUUAAAUUCUUUGGCUUGGGGUGCCUGGGUGGCUCAGUGGGUUAAGCAUCCGACUUUGGCUCAGGUCAUGAUCUUACGGUUAGUGGGUUUGAGCCCCGUGUCAGGCUCUGUGCCGAUAGCUCGGAGCUGGGAGCCUGCUUCAGAUUCUGUGUCUCUCUCUCUGCGCCUCUCCUGCUUGUGCAUGCUCUCUCUCACAAAAAUAAACAUAAAAAAAGUUAAAAAAAAUUCUUUUGCUCAUAAAAUUAAGGGGGAAAAUGCUUAAUAUGAUUUCUAUAUAUCUUUCUAAAAUCAGUGUAGAAAUCCUGACCCACUCAUGAAUAGCUGUCCUUAGGAGGAUAUUCGAAAUGAUCACUGUAGUAGCUGAUAUUAAUAAGCCAUUAGCUUUUCUUUAUAAAAGUAGAGUGGUUGCACUAGAUUCAUUUGGGGCCAAAGCAGGUAGUUAAAUAAAAGCUUCCCAAGCUUUUCGCAUGGAUGGCAACUAAGCUGUUCAGUAUUGCUAGAGAUACAGCAGAAAUGGGAAACAUUAGUCAUAUCCUCCUGUUCCUUACUCCCACCCUUACCGCUGCCCAUCACAGUAUCAUCACAGGCGCAUUAGUCAUGCUGAGAAAAUGUAGUUUCUAGGCCCUGGUUUUGGACUGGAUUCAUUGGGCGGGGUGAGGUGGGGCUUCCUGAAUAAUCAACUAAAGCCUCUUUGUCAUUCCUUUAAAAGAACUGGAAUAUUUCCUGAGAAUGGAAAAACAGAUAGAUACGACUCAUAAUCUAACGAAAAAUGCUACCAACCCAGAAAAUGGAGACUGUUUUGUGGUCCUCUGGGAGGCAUCUAAAGGCUUGGUAAAAAGAAACACUAACAACAGAGGGUGGAGAACUUAGCCAUUACUGAACUGGUGGAUCUCCAAAGGGAUAGACCCAACUGUUGGUCUUGGCUGUUUCCAUGGAGAAGCAGAAGUCUCCAUAUUUAAAGAUGGGUUUCCCAACCAGGAAAAUACAACUCAAUUAGGUGCCAGGGACACUGCACUGCACAAGACAGACAAGCUUCCUGCUCUUGGGGAAUUUAUAUUCUAGGUAAGUAACACAGGAUAAACACAAAGAUUAAAAAUAAAGGGAAUAUUUUCAGAUAGUGGUAAACAUAGUGAAGAAAACACAACAGGUUCAAGCUUGGUGGAGUGUUACUCUAUCCCGGGAAGUCGAGUGAAGGUAAAGUCUCCUGGGUCAGAUGAGAAGGAGCCAGCCACAGACAGCCUGGGGAAAGAUUUUUCCAGAAAGUUGCAAAAGACCUGAGGUGGAAAUGAGCUGGCAGCUGGCAGGAACAAACUUGGCCUGAGAGUGGUACAGCAGGCAUUUAGAGGGAGGUGGGGAGCCAGAUCAUGGAAGGCCUUGAAUGAGUGUGAUGUGUUUGGCUUAAAUUCUAAAUAUAGCAGGAAACCAACAGAAGAGUUCUAAGUAGGGGCAUGAUAAGAUCUGAAUUGCAUUUUUAAAACUUCCUUCAAGCUUCUGUCUGGUGAAUAGAUGAAAAGGGAAUUGAGAGGCCAUUUAGAAGUGUCUGCACAAGACCUGAAGUGCCCAUAAGGCGUCAGGGACACCGGACUGGAGAGGCAGCAGGGAGGAUGCCCUGUGAAAUCUGGGUUUCCCACUAAGCCACAAGCCUGUGGUUAUCCUGAGCAGCUGCAGCGUGAUAAAGCAUUGUGGGAAUCGGGGAGAUUCCACUGUGAGCAAGUGGUAGGAGAGUGAUCCCACACUGUGAUUUGGUCCGAAGCUUCUCCGUGCCUCGGAAGGCAGAAAAGCUUUAAUUUUCCAAAGAGCAGUUUGUUCCACUUUUCUGCCCUUCUCUAGAUUCCAGAAGUUGCAAGAGCAGUAUUUGUGACCCCAGCAUUUGAGUUUCUAUAAGGUAUGAAUGGCCAAACUCACUUAGCAGAGAGGCACGAUUAAUGGCAAGAGGCAGCUAUGUCCUUCAGCAGGAUCCAUUCUGCCAGUCUUGGAGACUCGUUUCUACCUUGGCAUUCUUCUGGACAAUUACUCUCUCUCUCACUACAAAAGUAAGUAUUUGGGGGGGGGGGUUUGGGCAGGAAAUCACAGCUGUAUUAAAACUUUCAUUAAGUAAAAUAAAAUGUCGAGGAGGAGAGGUAAUGGAGAAAUGAAGGGGGGAAAAAAACCCCACCUCCUAACCUUAUUUUAAUCAAAAACUUGGCUUUGGCCUCCUUUCUAACUAAACACUCUCAUAUAUUGAUUCAAAAUGAGUGUCAGUUGUUAAUACACGUAAACCAGUUCAAAAGACCAGAAGUGAGUGGAAGAAUCCUAGAAAAUUUACAGUGGGUUCUGCCUACUGGUAACUGAAGAUUCUGACUUACUAAAGUUUUUCUAAUACACUCGAAUUUACCAAUUAAAACAAUUCUUGGAAAUUGUUUUAAUUAUUUGUUUUGAGGGAGGAGUAGAGAGAGAGGGAGGGAGAGAGAAUCCCAAGCAGGCUCCACACCAUCAGCACGGAGCCUGCCUUGGGGCUCGAACCUAUGAAUCAGGAGAUCAUGGUGACCUGAACUGAAACCAAGGAUCGGGCACUCUGACUGAGCCACCCAGGCACCCCAAAACAACUUUUUUUCCCCUAAUACUGAAGACAUCAGCAGAGUUAAGAUGUUCUAAAUGUAACCUCUCAUCUACUCCUAUUAACCUAUGGUGUGCAAAGCAUAUCCUUUUUAAAUUUUGAGGUAGCUGAUUGAAAAAAAAUGUGUGUGUGUGUAGUAACUAUUUAAGAGACAUUGUAAAUGAACUCUGUUCUGCAAGUAAAACACAUGAGGAGAAGCAAUCUUUAGUGAGAGGCAGGAAAUUUAAAAAAAAAAACAGACUUAUUCCCAUUUUUUAAAACUUCAAGUGCUCUGGAUUAUUCUGACUUAAAAGAGGGAACAUUUACUGCUGAUCACCAUGUGUUCUGUUCAUGCCCUGAAUUCGUGGGGGAGAUCACAACUUUGUCACACGGAGCAGAAGAGAAACAGUUGUUGGAGUUUGACACAUUUUCCAAUAGAAGAAAAAUCCAGUUGCCAACUACAUAUGGGUUCAUUUUGGGUUCCUGGAACUGAUAACACAUCAGCAUGUCUUACGAAACUUGUGCAUGGCAUGUUAUUGCAGCUGUAUAUCAUCAGAGAGAAAAAAAAUAAUUGGUUUUCCUUAGAGUAUCUCGAAGUUGAUGUCAUAUUCAAUAACCCUGUAGUUGAAAAAUCUAUAUAUGAUGGAUGAAGUUUGGACUAUCUUGAAUUUAAUUCCUCCUGUGCCAGCUUCUACAGGCCCUGGUCUACCUGUCAUUUUGGGCCGACGAACACACGUGGUUACAGAAGAGCAAACCUCCCCACCUUGGUUUAUGCAUCCCUAAUUUGAAAUGGUCGUGUCUAUGAGGAUGGAAAGAGGAGUCCUGGGAAAUAUCUUUGAGACCGAAUAUGGCAGCAUGUGCUCUAACCACAAACAGUGUUCUCCUACAUGGUCGCCGCCAGUGACUCUGGAGGGGACACGCCUCUCUGCAAGGCUUCAACAGCAAUGCAGGAGGCAUGGGUCCAACAGAGACCCGAGGCUUGGCAGUGCUUCAGCCUCCGGGCAUCACUGUGGGUUCUGCCCAGGGAACAUAGGGCGCUGUUCUUUUGACUCCUUCGGCAGAGAGAGAAGAACUGUUCUGGGAAGAGUACAGGACCGAAUGAAACCGAUCAGGCAGGCUCCAAGAAGUGCCUGGAUGUUGUAAUAACUUGGGUGUCAAGAACCCGCUAAAGGGGAACUAUCAUUUCCAUGAUAGAGCAAGGGGUGUCUAAGCCUACUGAGAGCCUUGGGGCCACAACAUCACUGGGGAAGCGGACCAACCCGUGGCCACUCAAAAGCGGUACUAAUGACCAAGUGCCCUGGAGCCCAAGCCAGCCUCCGGCAUGGGCUUCUGCACAACAAAAGACAGAAUGGCAAGAGAGCAAAAGUGAUGGGGACAGGGUAAGGAAGGGAACCCCCACUUUUGAAGCAGUGAACGGCAUUGGGGAGGGACAGGACUGGGGACCUGGAACUCCUCUGUCCUUGGACACAGAAAAAAAAAGCCAUGGUUUAAAAGAGCGCCGAGCUAGCUCAGUCCAUUAGCGUCCGACUCUUGAUUUCAGCUUAGGUCAUGAUCUCACAGUUUGGAAGUUCAAGCCCCAUGUGGGGCUCUGCGCGGUGUCAGUGUGGAGCCUGCUCGGAAUUUUCUCUCCCACUCUCUCUGCCCCACUCAUGCCUUCUGUCUCUCAAAAUAAACAAACCUAAAAAAAGAUUUUUUAAAAAAGAGUGACCAGCAUCCCUAAGAGCCAGCCCUUCGAGCUCCACCAAAUGGCAGAAGAGCUGUGGGGACACUCUCUGGGUCACAGGGACUGGAGAACAACACGGUUUACGCAUAGACCAGAGGUAGGUCUGUACCCUCAGGUCCUCCAGGCAAACAUCAGCCCUGGAUGCACUUGGGCACACACACAAAGCCGCAGUUUAAAAGAGUAGCUGGCAUGAAAAACAGCCCGCUCUAGAAUUCUGCUAAUGGUAGGGGUAGCUGUGGGAGGGCUCUCCGGGUGGGAGGGGCUGAUACACAGUCUCCGCUCACUACCCCUCCCACACACUUUGAAAGCACAGAGUGAUGUCCUGGCCUGCUGCCUCAGUGAGCCCUGGACCCCUAGCCCACACCCCUACCAGCCAGCCCACCAAGGCGGCCACAGGGCACGCACACUGGGAUAUCCUUAGUUAGCACUCACUACAGCUCCAGCCUUCGUGCUAAGAUCACAGUCACAAGGCCCCCCCAGAAUGCUCAUGGCCCACACCACUUUGGCUUCAGAUGGCUGGCUAGGGCACCCCCCCCCCCCCCCCCCCCCCGUGGAGAACACUCCAGAAUGUUUUGGCUGCCAUGUGCUUGAGAUCCAGUUGCCCUGCCAGGGUGGCCCAAACCCCAGUCCAUGCCUGCAUCAGUUCCAGUCAUCCCAUCAGGGCGGCCCCUGUGCAGAGCACCCCAACACUCCUUUGCCCACAUUGGCCUUGGCUUUGGUUGCCGACCAGGGAACCCCCUGCAUGGAGUACCCAGAGACACCUCAAAUCGCACCAAAUUCAGUGAAAGCUGUCCUGCCAGGGCGCCCUCUGCACAGAACACCCCAGAACCUCCUGGCCUGUACCCCACCUCAACGCCAUCUCCUCCUUCGGGGCAUCCUCUGCCGAGAGUCCCAAAACAUCCCGGUUUACAUCCACUUCAGCUUCAGCCAUCCUGCCAACAUGCCCCCUGGGCUUCGAGCCCCAGGUCCCCCUGGUUUGCAUCCACUUUAGUUCCAGCUACACUGUCAAGGAAGGCUCUGUGCAGAAAACUCUGGGAACUCCCGGCACCCACACUGCCUUAGCUCCAGCCACGCUGCUAGGGCACCCCUUGCACAAGGUGCCCCGGACAGUCCGGGUCACAACCAUUUCAGCUGUCUUGCCAGGUGCCCUCAGCGCACAGAAUCCGAGGACACCCUGGCCCGCAUCCGCUUCAGCUGUCCAGACAUGGCACUCUCUGUGUGGAAAGCCCUGGGGUCCCCAGCCCAUGCCCGUCACAGCUCAAGCCAGCCAGCAGAGAUCGCCAAGCACACACCAUCUACCUGGAGGAUGACCAUAUACAGGAUAAUUCCUUCAGGUUUAGGAGAAGUAACUGUUACAUCUAAUCCACAGAAACAAACACAGAAUGUUAAGCAAAACAGGGAGACAGAGGAAUAUGCUCCAAAAUAAAGAACAAGACAAACCCUCAGAAAAAGAACUACAUGAAAUGGAGACAGGCAAUAUGCUUGAUAAAGAAUUUAAAGUAAUGAUCAUAAAAAUGCUCACUGGGCUGGCGAGAAGAGUGCAAGAAUUCAGUGGGGCCUUCAAUAAAGAGAUAGAAAACGUAAAAAACAACCAAUCAGAAUUGAAUACAAUCACUAAAAUAAAAAACCACAGUAGAGGGAAUCAAUGGUAGAUUAGCAGAUGCGGAAGAAUACGUCAGCGAUCUGGGAGGUAGGGUACUGGAAUGCACACAAGCUGAAAAGCAAAACAGAAACGAAUUAAAAAAACGAAGGCAGGUUAAGGGAUCUUUUGGACAACACUCAGCAAACAAACAUUUGCAUUAUUGGGGUCCCUGAAGGAGAGAGAGAAAGGGGUAGAAAAUUUAUAUGAAGAAAUAAUAGCUGAAAACUUCCCUAACCUCGGGAAGGAAACAGACAUCUAGGUCCAAGAAGCACAGGACAUUUCAAACAAGAUGAACUCAAGGAGGUCCACACCAUGACACAUAAUAAUUAAAAUGUCAAAGGCUAAAGAUAAAGAGAAUUUUAAAAGCAAGAGAGAAGCAAAAAAUUUCCUAGGAAGGAAAUAAAGCCCUAUAAAGUCCUAUGAGACUGUCAGUUGGGGCGCCUGGGUAGCUCAGUUGGGUAAGCGUCCAACUUCAGCUCAGAUCAUCGUCUCAUGGUUUGUGGGUUCGAGCCUUGUGUUGGGGUCUGUGCUGACAGCUCAGAGCCUGGAGCCUGCUUCUGAUUCUGUGCCUCCCUCUGUCUCUGCCCCUCCCUCACUCAUACUCAGUCUCUCUCUCUCUCUCAAA